CCUACGGGAGGCAGCAGUGAGGAAUAUUGGUCAAUGGACGAGAGUCUGAACCAGCCAAGUAGCGUGAAGGAUGACUGCCCUUUGGGUUGUAAACUUCUUUUAUAAAGGAAUAAAACGAGGCACGUGUGCCUUUUUGCAUGUACUUUAUGAAUAAGGAUCGGCUAACUCCGUGCCAGCAGCCGCGGUAAUACGGAGGAUCCGAGCGUUAUCCGGAUUGAUUGGGUUUAAAGGGAGCGUAGAUGGGUUGUUAAGUCAGUUGUGAAAGUUUGCGGCUCAACCGUAAAAUUGCAAUUGAUACUGGCAGUCUUGAGUACAGUUGAGGUAGGCGGAAUUCGUGGUGUAGCGGUGAAAUGCUUAGAUAUCACGAAGAACCCCGAUUGCGAAGGCAGCUUACUAAACUGUGACUGACAUUGAUGCUCGAAAGUGUGGGUAUCAAACAGGAUUAGAUACCCUUGUAGUC
rnacentral:rRNA from 1 species